UGAAUACGAGACGCUAAGGCGUCGAAGUAGUGUAUGUCAUACUUCCAAGAAAAGCUUGCACUGUCAUAGAUAAAAAACGCCUGUACCAUAACCGACACAGGUGGGUAGGUAGAGUAUACUAAGGGGCGCGAGAUAACUCUCUCUAAGGAACUCGGCAAAAUAACUCCGUAACUUCGGGAGAAGGAGUGCCUUAUUCGUAAGGUUGCAAUAACAAGAUCCAAGCAACUUUUAUCAAAAACACAGGUCUCCGCUAAGUCGUAAGACGAUGUAUGGGGGCUGACGCCUGCCCAGUGCCAGAAGGUUAAAGAAGUUGGUUAGCAAUUGCGAAGCUGAUAACUGAAGCCCUGGUGAACGGCGGCCGUAACGAUAACGGUCCUAAGGUAGCGAAAUUCCUUGUCGGGUAAGUUCCGACCCGCACGAAAGGCGUAAUGAUUUGGAUACUGUCUCGGAGAGGGGCUCGGUGAAAUAGACUUGUCUGUGAAGAUGCGGACUACCUGCACCAGGACAGAAAGACCCUAUGAAGCUUUACUGUAACUUGAAAUUGAAAUUGGACUUUAUUCGCGCAGUAUAGGUGGGAGGCGUUGAUUAUAAUCUUGUGGGAUUAUUGGAGCCAUCAGUGAGAUACCACUCUUGUAAUGUUAGAUUUCUAACUUUGAAUCAUUAUCUGGUCAAAGAACAGUUUCAGGCGGGCAGUUUGACUGGGGCGGUCGCCUCCUAAACGGUAACGGAGGCGUACAAAGGUUUCCUCUGAACGGUUAGAAAUCGUAUCUAGAGUGUAAAGGCAUAAGGAAGCUUGACUGUGAGACCUACAAGUCGAGCAGGGACGAAAGUCGGUCUUAGUGAUCUGACGGUACUGAGUGGAAAGGCCGUCACUCAACGGAUAAAAGUUACUCUAGGAUAACAGGCUGAUCUCCCCCAAGAGUUCGCAUCGACGGGGAGGUUUGGCACCUCGAUGUCGGCUCAUCGCAUCCUGGGGCGGUAGUACGUCCCAAGGGUUGGGCUGUUCGCCCAUGAAAGCGGUACGCGAGCUGGGUUCAGAACGUCGUGAGACAGUUCGGUCCAUAUCCGGUGUAGGCGUUAGAAUAUUGAGAGGAGCCUUCUUUAGUACGAGAGGACCGAGAAGGACAUACCUCUGGUGUACCAGUUAUCGUGCCAACGGUAAACGCUGGGUAGCUAUGUAUGGAGUGGAUAACCGCUGAAAGCAUCUAAGUGGGAAGCCCACCUCAAGAUAAGUAUUCUCAU
rnacentral:rRNA from 1 species